rnacentral:rRNA from 1 species
AUGGAGGUAGUGACAAUAAAUAACAAUGCCGGGCCUUUGUAGGUCUGGCAAUUGGAAUGAGAACAAUUCAAACCCCUUAUCGAGGAUCAAUUGGAGGGCAAGUCUGGUGCCAGCAGCCGCGGUAAUUCCAGCUCCAAUAGCGUAUACUAAAGUUGUUGCAGUUAAAAAGCUCGUAGUUGGAUUUAUGGCGGUUCCCGGGGUCCAAUUUUUGGUACAUUCGGGGACUGCCAUCCUUGGGUGGAACCCGUGUGGAAUUAAGUUUUCGUGCAGGGGAUGCCCAUCGUUUACUGUGAAAAAAUCAGAGUGCUUCAAGCAGGCUUAUGCCGUUGAAUACAUUAGCAUGGAAUAAUAAAAUACGACUUCGGUACUAUUUUGUUGGUUUGCGCACCGAUGUAAUAAUUAAUAGAGACAGUUGGGGAUAUUCGUAUUCCGUUGUCAGAGGUGAAAUUCUUGGAUUUCCGGAAGACGAACUACUGCGAAAGCAUUUAUCAAGGAUGUUUUCAUUAAUCAAGAACGAAAGUUAGGGGAUCGAAGAUGAUUAGAUACCAUCGUAGUCUUAACCAUAAACUAUGCCGACAAGGGAUUGGUGGGGCUUCGUUACGUCUCCAUCAGCACCUUAUGAGAAAUCACAAGUUUUUGGGUUCCGGGGGGAGUAUGGUCGCAAGGCUGAAACUUAAAGAAAUUGACGGAAGGGCACCACCAGGAGUGGAGCCUGCGGCUUAAUUUGACCCAACACGGGAAAACUUACCAGGUCCAGACAUAGUGAGGAUUGACAGAUUGAGAGCUCUUUCUUGAUUCUAUGGGUGGUGGUGCAUGGCCGUUCUUAGUUGGUGGAGUGAUUGUCUGGUUAAUUCCGUUAACGAACGAGACCCCUGCCUGCUAAAUAGUCCAGUGAGUGAAUUUCACUGACCGGGACUUCUUAGAGGGACGUGCGUUCUAUUAGACGGGGAAGAUAGGGGCAAUAACAGGUCUGUGAUGCCCUUAGAUGUCCUGGGCCGCACGCGCGCUACACUGAUGCAUUCAACGAGUGCUUCCUUGGCCGAGAGGCCUGGGCAAUCUUUUGAACGUGCAUCGUGAUAGGGAUAGAUUAUUGCAAUUAUUAAUCUUGAACGAGGAAUUCCUAGUAAACGGAGAUCAUCAAUCUCCAUUGAUUACGUCCCUGCCCUUUGUACACACCGCCCGUCGCACCCACCGAUUGAAUGGUCCGGUGAGGAUUCGGGACUGUGACCAGUGCCUUUACUGGUGUUGGUCACGGGAACUUGUCCAAACCUUAUCAUUU